rnacentral:lncRNA from 13 species
AUGGUUCACCCAGACUUUCAAUCAAAUUCAUCCAAUAAUAUGCCAACUUGGAGAGAGAAUGAUGGACAGAAUUUGAGACCUGGAAAGACUAAGAAUCCACAGAUUAAGGUCCCCAGAGAUGACAAUGGAAGUGAGAGAUGUUAUGAACCAGGUGCUGAAAAGCCACAGUGGCAAGAAUCAGAAGAGGGCAAAAAGGUACUCAGAGUUCCACCCUUACAAGCCUAAGAGAAAAGAAAGGCAACAAGGACGGCUUUAAAGUAUGCUUUUAUUUAAACACAGCAUGAGAAGCAGAC